UGGGGAAUAUUGGACAAUGGGCGCAAGCCUGAUCCAGCCAUGCCGCGUGUGUGAAGAAGGCCUUAUGGUUGUAAAGCACUUUAAGCGAGGAGGAGGCUACUUUAGUUAAUACCUAGAGAUAGUGGACGUUACUCGCAGAAUAAGCACCGGCUAACUCUGUGCCAGCAGCCGCGGUAAUACAGAGGGUGCAAGCGUUAAUCGGACUUACUGGGCGUAAAGCGCGCGUAGGUGGUUCGUUAAGUUGAAUGUGAAAGCCCCGGGCUCAACCUGGGAACUGCAUCCAAAGCUGGCGAGCUAGAGUAGGGCAGAGGGUGGUGGAAUUUCCUGUGUAGCGGUGAAAUGCGUAGAUAUAGGAAGGAACACCAGUGGCGCAGGCGACCACCUGGGCUCAUACUGACACUGAGGUGCGAAAGCGUGGGGAGCAAACAGG
rnacentral:rRNA from 1 species